AUUGAACGCUGGCGGCAGGCUUAACACAUGCAAGUCGAACGAGUGGCGGACGGGUGAGUAAUGUCUGGGAAUCUGCCUGAUGGAGGGGGAUAACUACUGGAAACUGUAGCUAAUACCGCAUACCAUCGGAUGUGCCCAACUGGGAUUAGCUAGUUGUUGGGGUAAAGGCUCACCUAGGCGACGAUCCCUAGCUGGUCUGAGAGGAUGACCAGCCACACUGGAACUGAGACACGGUCCAGACUCCGACGGGAGGCAGCAGUGGGGAAUAUUGCACAAUGGGGGAAAGCCUGAUGCAGCCAUGCCGCGUGUAUGAAGAAGGCCUGCGGGUUGUAAAGUACUUUCGGCGGGGAGGCGUUACCCACAGAAGAAGCACCGGCUAACGCCGUGCCAGCAGCCGCGGUAAUUG
rnacentral:rRNA from 1 species